rnacentral:rRNA from 1 species
UACGUAGGGACCAAGCGUUGUUCGGAUUUACUGGGCGUAAAGGGCGCGUAGGCGGCUUGACAAGUCACUUGUGAAAUCUCCGGGCUUAACUCGGAACGGCCAAGUGAAACUGUCAUGCUAGAGUGCAGAAGGGGCAAUUGGAAUUCUUGGUGUAGCGGUGAAAUGCGUAGAGAUCAUGAGGAAGACCAGUGGCGAAGGCGGGUCUCUGGACAGUUCCUGACACUGAGACACGAAGGCCAGGGGAGCAAACGGG